UACAGAGGUCUCAAGCGUUGUUCGGAUUCAUUGGGCGUAAAGGGUGCGUAGGCGGCGCGGUAAGUCGGGUGUGAAAUCUCGGGGCUUAACUCCGAAACUGCAUUCGAUACUGCCGUGCUUGAGGACUGGAGAGGAGACUGGAAUUUACGGUGUAGCGGUGAAAUGCGUAGAUAUCGUAAGGAACACCAGUGGCGAAGGCGACUACCUGGCCUGUUCUUGACGCUGAGGCGCGAAAGCUAGGGGAGCAAACGGG
rnacentral:rRNA from 1 species